AGGGAGAGCCCAAGAUUGAAAGCUGGCACCUUCGGUGUCCGCAUUGUAAUCUCAAGAAACAUUUUCCGCUUCGGACCAAGCCUAAGUCUCUUGGAAAAGAGCAUCGUAGAGGGUGAGAAUCCCGUACAUGGCUUGGAGCGCCCGAGGCUUUGUGAUAUGUUUUCUAAGAGUCGAGUUGUUUGGGAAUGCAGCUCAAAAUGGGUGGUAAAUGCCAUCUAAGGCUAAAUAUUGGGGAGAGACCGAUAGCGAACAAGUACCGUGAGGGAAAGAUGAAAAGAACUUUGAAAAGAGAGUUAAACAGUACGUGAAAUUGCCAAAAGGGAAGGGUAGGAGGUCAGAGAUGCGGCUUGGGAUUCAGCCUUGCUUUUGCUUGGUGUUUUUCCCAUUUUGCAGGCCAACGUCGGUUUUGGGCACUGGAGAAUGGUAGGAGGAACGUGGCACUCUUCGGGGUGUGUUAUAGCCUCCUACUGGAUACAGCGACCGAGACCGAGGAACGCAGCGUACUCGAAAGAGCGGGCCUUCGGGCACCUUUACGCUUAGGGCGUUGGCAUAAUGGCCCUCUACCACCCGUCUUGAAACCACGGACCCA
rnacentral:rRNA from 1 species